GACGAACGCUGGCGGCGUGCUUAACACAUGCAAGUCGAACGGUAAGGCCCUUCGGGGUACACGAGUGGCGAACGGGUGAGUAACACGUGGGUGAUCUGCCCUGCACUUCGGGAUAAGCCUGGGAAACUGGGUCUAAUACCGGAUAGGACUCCUGGCUUCAUGGUUGGGGGUGGAAAGCUUUUGCGGUGUGGGAUGGGCCCGCGGCCUAUCAGCUUGUUGGGGGGGUAAUGGCCUACCAAGGCGACGACGGGUAGCCGGCCUGAGAGGGUGACCGGUCACACUGGGACUGAGAUACGGCCCAGACUCCUACGGGAGGCAGCAGUGGGGAAUAUUGCACAAUGGGCGCAGGCCUGAUGCAGCGACGCCGCGUGAGGGAUGACGGCCUUCGGGUUGUAAACCUCUUUCAGCUAUGACGAAGCGCAAGUGACGGUAGUAGCAGAAGAAGGACCGGCCAACUACGUGCCAGCAGCCGCGGUAA
rnacentral:rRNA from 1 species